rfam:Gossypium raimondii Chr06_contig_62, whole genome shotgun sequence.
UAUUAAAAAUUUUAUCUAUUUUUACAGUAAAAAAACUGGUGUGUCAUGUGUAGCUCAUUCUGAUGCACAUGAACUAAUUUUUAACCGUAGAAUUGGAUGAAAUUUUUAACA